rnacentral:sRNA from 12 species
CGGCUGAUUGGAAGAUUCUAGGAUAAUCCUGGGUGACUGGGAGAAAAGGGCUAGCUGGGCUGAUUGGCUGGCCCCCUUCAUGGCAGCAUGUUGAACCGAAUCUUCGGGUUCGUGGAGGCAGACUGCGGAAUUGGAGGCAGGAUUCACCAAGACCGCAGAGAUUGAUUUGACGCGGUUUCCGACUUCGGUUGGAGGCAGAGUAUCGGUUGGUUAGCUAAUGGAUGCUCGUGGAGGAGGAUCGAUCAAAGCAAACUGUAGACUUGGCCGCGAGGGGCGAAUUAGGAGCUGCCCCGUGCCCGGUUGAAUCAACAAUCGGGUCGUUUGAGCCUUCGGGUUCAAGGGAUGGAGUGAGGAUUCGAGCCUGCUCCAGGCGAGAAUCCAGUCAUAGUUACCCGCCGGGUAAGGGUUGCCACUAUGUCAUCAGCACGGUGUGAACCAAAAAUUGGUCGGUAACGACCAUCCGGACGAAAUCCGCCGAAAGGUGGGACAAAGCCGGGGUUAGCAUUGGGAUGGCCACGUGUUCCAGACGAGAACCGUGAAAACCAUCCGCCUGGGCGGCGAUGCGACAAACCGCAGCGCUGCCAUGCAAGACAAGAGCAACCUGAGAGGUAAGAGGCGAGACCCGUCGCACGGGCCAACGCACCGUCAAAAGCGGUGGCCGACCUUGUGCUAGGGAGUGAAGAGGCAGACAACUUGCAAAUGUCUCUUUUCCAGGUUUGGAGGUCCGGGGCUGCAACCCCGAGCCAAAGAGCAAAUAAGCCUCACUCGAUAAUUCAGGAUCGCAAGACCCUGAACGGCCCCGCCAUGAGGCCGACAACUCCGCAUGUCACGGAGAGUGGCGUCGGGGAGUCAUCGACCUGCGAUGCGGGUGCCUAACGGUGGCGACUGGGAAAGAGAGCGUGGCGAACUCC